ACACUGCUGAAGAGUCCCACGACAGGACGAAACGAUCGUCCAAUGC
rnacentral:hammerhead_ribozyme from 1 species